rnacentral:tRNA from 1 species
GGAAGAUUGAAUGGAGAAUGGUAUUCCACCAGUUUGCUAAACUGGGUUCGAAAGGACGCGCAGGUUCGAUUCCUGCAUCUUCCGCCA